GAUGAACGCUGGCGGCGUGCCUAACACAUGCAAGUCGAACGGACUUAAGAUGAAACCUAGUGAUUUUAAGUUAGUGGCGGACGGGUGAGUAACGCGUGGGCAACCUGCCUCAUACAGGGGGAUAACACUUAGAAAUAGGUGCUAAUACCGCAUAAGCGCACAGUUUCGCAUGAAACAGUGUGAAAAACUCCGGUGGUAUGAGAUGGACCCGCGUCUGAUUAGCUAGUUGGUGGGGUAACGGCCUACCAAGGCGACGAUCAGUAGCCGGCCUGAGAGGGUGAACGGCCACAUUGGGACUGAGACACGGCCCAAACUCCUACGGGAGGCAGCAGUGGGGAAUAUUGCACAAUGGGGGAAACCCUGAUGCAGCAACGCGCGUGAGUGAAGAAGUAUUCGGUAUGUAAAGCUCUAUCAGCAAGGAGAAAAAUGACGGUACUUGACUAAGAAGCCCCGGNUAACUACGU
rnacentral:rRNA from 1 species